rnacentral:rRNA from 1 species
UACGUAGGGGGCAAGCGUUGUCCGGAAUCAUUGGGCGUAAAGCGCGUGUAGGCGGCUCGAUAAGUCUGCUGUGAAAGUCCAGGGCUCAACCCUGGGAUGCCGGUGGAUACUGUCGAGCUCGAGUCCGGAAGAGGCGAGUGGAAUUCCUGGUGUAGCGGUGAAAUGCGCAGAUAUCAGGAGGAACACCUAUGGCGAAGGCAGCUCGCUGGGACGUGACUGACGCUGAGACGCGAAAGCGUGGGGAGCAAACAGG